GUUGGGUAAGGCACACAGGUCUGGGAGACACGCCGCAGCUCUCUUCCCACUGACCUCGAGCAUUUGCCUGCACUCGUCUCCUCAGGUUGCUGCGAGCCUUAGUUAACACCCAGAGUUCUGAAAGCGUUCCUCUAAGCCUCACCCGACUUUUCACGUUGAAUGGAGGCACUUUGUACAACGCUGAACAGGACAGAAAGCAGACAAAGCAUCUAAACAAGAAAAUUGAGCCAUAGACCCUCAACAGUCUGGUUUCUACUUUAAAGAACUUUGUAGAGAGGCCGUUCAUUACCCUGGGUGCAGCUUGUUGGUGUUUCUGCAGCAAGAGAGGAUCCAGACAGGUGAAACCCACCCCUCAGACUGCAGUGCAGCUGCCUGGUGCACUCACGCUCGGAGCAAGGGAGCUACUGAAGGAUGAGCUGCAGUACGUGCGUGUCGUUUGGUCCUUAGCAAACCAUGCUCUUCCAUGGAAAAGGGUUCAUUUUUCGUCUCUUGCAAGAAGCUUUUGUGUCAUAUAGAUGAAGUGGAAAAUUGGAAGCCAUAGUCCCUGCAGCAAGCUAUAAUGUGUUCCGCCAAUUCUGUACUGAAUCUUGUAUUAAACUGUAAUG